rnacentral:rRNA from 1 species
GACGAACGCUGGCGGCGUGCUUAACACAUGCAAGUCGAACGGAAAGGCCCUGCUUUUGUGGGGUGCUCGAGUGGCGAACGGGUGAGUAACACGUGAGUAACCUGCCCUUGACUUUGGGAUAACUUCAGGAAACUGGGGCUAAUACCGGAUAGGAGCUCCUGCUGCAUGGUGGGGGUUGGAAAGUUUCGGCGGUUGGGGAUGGUCUCGCGGCUUAUCAGCUUGUUGGUGGGGUAGUGGCUUACCAAGGCUUUGAGGGGUAGCCGGCCUGAGAGGGUGACCGGACACAGUGGGACUGAGAGAGGGCACAGACUCCAACGGGAGGCAGUAGUGGGGAAUAUUGCACAAUGGGCGGAAGCCUGAUGCAGCAACGCCGCGUGCGGGAUGACGGCCUUCGGGUUGUAAACCGCUUUCGCCUGUGACGAAGCGUGAGUGACGGUAAUGGGUAAAGAAGCACCGGCUAACUACGUG